AUACGUAGGUGACAAGCGUUAUCCGGAUUUACUGGGCGUAAAGGGCGUGUAGGCGGUCUUGCAAGUCAGAAGUGAAAUUCCUGAGCUCAACUCGGGCGCUGCUUCUGAAACUGCAGGACUUGAGUGCUGGAGGGGAUAGCGGAAUUCCUAGUGGAGCGGUAAAAUGCGCAGAUAUUAGGAAGAACACCAGUGGCGAAGGCGGCUAUCUGGACAGUAACUGACGCUGAGGCGCGAAAGCGUGGGGAGCAAACAGGAUUAGAUACCCUGGUAGUCCACGCUGUAAACGAUGAAUACUAGGUGUAGGGGGUAUCGACUCCCUCUGUGCCGCAGUUAACACAAUAAGUAUUCCGCCUGGGGAGUACGGCCGCAAGGUUGAAACUCAAAUGAAUUGACGGGG
rnacentral:rRNA from 1 species